ACAUUUGAGUGAGUGGCGAACUGGUGAGUAACACGUGGGAAACCUGCCCAGAAGCGGGGGAUAACACCUGGAAACAGAUGCUAAUACCGCAUAACAACUUGGACCGCAUGGUCCGAGCUUGAAAGAUGGCUUCGGCUAUCACUUUUGGAUGGUCCCGCGGCGUAUUAGCUAGAUGGUGGGGUAACGGCUCACCAUGGCAAUGAUACGUAGCCGACCUGAGAGGGUAAUCGGCCACAUUGGGACUGAGACACGGCCCAAACUCCUACGGGAGGCAGCAGUAGGGAAUCUUCCACAAUGGACGAAAGUCUGAUGGAGCAACGCCGCGUGAGUGAAGAAGGGUUUCGGCUCGUAAAACUCUGUUGUUAAAGAAGAACAUAUCUGAGAGUAACUGUUCAGGUAUUGACGGUAUUUAACCAGAAAGCCACGGCUAACUACGUGCCAGCAGCCGCGGUAAUACGUAGGUGGCAAGCGUUGUCCGGAUUUAUUGGGCGUAAAGCGAGCGCAGGCGGUUUUUUAAGUCUGAUGUGAAAGCCUUCGGCUCAACCGAAGAAGUGCAUCGGAAACUGGGAAACUUGAGUGCAGAAGAGGACAGUGGAACUCCAUGUGUAGCGGUGAAAUGCGUAGAUAUAUGGAAGAACACCAGUGGCGAAGGCGGCUGUCUGGUCUGUAACUGACGCUGAGGCUCGAAAGUAUGGGUAGCAAACAGGAUUAGAUACCCUGGUAGUCCAUACCGUAAACGAUGAAUGCUAAGUGUUGGAGGGUUUCCGCCCUUCAGUGCUGCAGCUAACGCAUUAAGCAUUCCGCCUGGGGAGUACGGCCGCAAGGCUGAAACUCAAAGGAAUUGACGGGGGCCCGCACAAGCGGUGGAGCAUGUGGUUUAAUUCGAAGCUACGCGAAGAACCUUACCAGGUCUUGACAUACUAUGCAAAUCUAAGAGAUUAGACGUUCCCUUCGGGGACAUGGAUACAGGUGGUGCAUGGUUGUCGUCAGCUCGUGUCGUGAGAUGUUGGGUUAAGUCCCGCAACGAGCGCAACCCUUAUUAUCAGUUGCCAGCAUUAAGUUGGGCACUCUGGUGAGACUGCCGGUGACAAACCGGAGGAAGGUGGGGAUGACGUCAAAUCAUCAUGCCCCUUAUGACCUGGGCUACACACGUGCUACAAUGGAUGGUACAACGAGUUGCGAACUCGCGAGAGUAAGCUAAUCUCUUAAAGCCAUUCUCAGUUCGGAUUGUAGGCUGCAACUCGCCUACAUGAAGUCGGAAUCGCUAGUAAUCGCGGAUCAGCAUGCCGCGGUGAAUACGUUCCCGGGCCUUGUACACACCGCCCGUCACACCAUGAGAGUUUGUAACACCCAAAGUCGGUGGGGUAACCUUUUAGGAACCAGCCGCCUAAGGUGGGACAGAUGAUUAGGGUGAAGUCGU
rnacentral:rRNA from 1 species